GUUCGCAGGUUCAAAUGCAGCUUGGGGCCCUUCUGUGUGGAGUUUACAUGUUCUCCCUGUGUUAGAGUGGGUUUUCUCCGGGUUCUCCGGUUUCCUCUCACAGUCCAAAGACAUGCAGGUCAGG